CAUCAUCAACAUCAAUCCAUCAUCUGCGUACAUUUUGUGACCAGAUUCAAGGGCAUCCCAUUUAUCCCGGCCAAAUCGUGUGUGUCCUUCAAGAUCACAUCAAAGGAAAACCCAUUUGAAUUGAAUUAAAAAUAGUGCAACUAAAAGUUGGACAACUCGGCCGAGUAAUUAGCCAAAACAGUGUGCCAGAAAAGUAAAAGUGAACUCAAUGAUUGGCGAAAUAGGAAAAACCUUUGCCAGUUCUUUUUUUGUUUGGUUCAAGAAACUGCAAUCGUAUUGUACUCAAAGUCAAGUUCAAGUUUAAAUGAAAGUUUGUUUAAGGGUAACGAAUUCUCAAUACAAAUUCUUAUUCGAUAAACAAAGUCAAAAGAACAUUUGAAUGCAAAUGCAUUCGGCCUUGAAUGCUUUGGUUCGAGAUGGACACCCACCAGGAACCUCUGUACAGCCGAUCCACAUGAUCCAAAGAUGGAAAGGUCAAAGCGAUCUCAAUGGAAAUAUACUCUAAAAAUAGGAACAUAUGUACUCCCACCCAAGGCGGAAGCCGUUUGCCCUUCAACCCUGCUUGUUGUAAUCGUAGCUGGUUGGGGAAUCUUUUCUCGUCUUUGUAUAAACAAUUUUAGAGGAAUUCGGAUAUUUGGAAAAUAUUGUAUUGCAGCACGUGG
rnacentral:sRNA from 1 species